rnacentral:lncRNA from 1 species
AGAUCACUACUCCAGCUCCCAAAACAAGUGAAAGCAACUUAUUUCUUGUAUCGGUUAUUCCUAGCGCAAGUGGUCAAGAGAUUGAUGAUUGGUGCUCGAUGUCUCAAAUUUAAAAUCUUGUUGUUUCACAUUUCAGUGAAAUUCAUUUCUAAAAAAAAAAAGAAUGAAUCGGGUAGCAUAUUGUUAUUCUCUCUCGAAAUUUUUUUUUCU